AUACGAAGGGGGCUAGCGUUGUUCGGAAUUACUGGGCGUAAAGCGCGUGUAGGCGGAUCGUUAAGUCAGGGGUGAAAGCCCGGGGCUCAACCCCGGAACUGCCCUUGAUACUGGCGAUCUAGAGUCCGGAGGAGGUGGGCGGAAUUCCCGGUGUAGAGGUGAAAUUCGUAGAUAUCAGGAGGAACACCAGUGGCGAAGGCGGCUCACUGGUCCGGUACUGACGCUGAGACGCGAAAGCGUGGGGAGCAAACAGGAUUAGAUACCCUAGUAGUCC
rnacentral:rRNA from 1 species